rnacentral:rRNA from 1 species
GUGAGGAAUAUUGGUCAAUGGACGGAAGUCUGAACCAGCCAUGCCGCGUGCAGGAAUAAGGUCCUAUGGAUUGUAAACUGCUUUUAUUCGGGAAUAAACCUCUUUACGUGUAGGGAGCUGAAGGUACCGAAGGAAUAAGCACCGACUAACUCCGUGCCAGCAGCCGCGGUAAUACGGAGGGUGCAAGCGUUAUCCGGAAUCAUUGGGUUUAAAGGGUCCGCAGGCGGGCUAUCAAGUCAGAGGUGAAAUCCCACAGCUUAACUGUGGAACUGCCUUUGAAACUGAUGGUCUUGAAUUAAGUGGGCGUUGGCGGAAUAUGACAUGUAGCGGUGAAAUGCAUAGAUAUGUCAUGGAACACCGAAAGCGAAGGCAGCUAACGAUACUUAUAUUGACGCUCAUGGACGAAAGCGUGGGUAGCGAACAGGAUUAGAAACCCUGGUAGUCC